AUUGAACGCUGGCGGCAGGCCUAACACAUGCAAGUCGAGCGGAGCGGCGGACGGGUGAGUAAUGCCUAGGAAUCUGCCUGGUAGUGGGGGAUACCGUCCGGAAACGGGCGCUAAUACCGCAUACUAUCAGAUGAGCCUAGGUCGGAUUAGCUAGUUGUUGGGGUAAAGGCCUACCAAGGCGACGAUCCGUAACUGGUCUGAGAGGAUGAUCAGUCACACUGGAACGGAGACACGGUCCAGACUAGUACGUGAGGCAGCAGUGGGGAAUAUUAGACAAUGGGCUGAAGCCUGAUCCAGCCAUGCCGAGUGUGUGAAGAAGGUCUUCUGAUUGUAAUGCACUUUUAGUUGGGAGGCGUUACCAAAAGAAUAAGCACCGGCUAACUUCGUGCCAGCAGCCGCGGUAAUUC
rnacentral:rRNA from 1 species